AGACAGUGUUGUUAACCUAACAAGUUCAGAAAACCUUGGCGAAGCGAACAUUACCCUAGAAAUAGG
rnacentral:ncRNA from 1 species